AAUGUAUAACGUUUACAUUAUGUCAGGAUAUGUCAGAGAGAGGGAGGGUAAUGUAUAAGGUUUACAUUAUGUCAGGAUAUGUCAGAGAGAGGUAGGGUAAUGUAUAACAUUUACAUUAUGUCAGAGAGAGGUAGGGUAAUGUAUAAGGUUUACAUUAUGUCAGGAUAUGUCAGAGAGAGGUAGGGUAAUGUAUAAGGUUUACAUUAUGUCAGAGAGAGGUAGGGUAAUGUAUAACGUUUACAUUAUGUCAGGAUAUGUCAGAGAGAGGUAGGGUAAUGUAUAAGGUUUACAUUAUGUCAGGAUAUGUCAGAGAGAGGUAGGGUAAUGUAUAAGGUUUACAUUAUGUCAGAGAGAGGUAGGGUAAUGUAUAAGGUUUACAUUAUGUCAGGAUAUGUCAGAGAGAGGGAGGGUAAUGUAUAAGGUUUACAUUAUGUCAGAGAGAGGUAGGGUAAUGUAUAAGGUUUACAUUAUGUCAGGAUAUGUCAGAGAGAGGGAGGGUAAUGUAUAAGGUUUACAUUAUGUCAGAGAGAGGUAGGGUAAUGUGUAAGGUUUACAUUAUGUCAGGAUAUGUCAGAGAGGUAGGGUAAUGUAUAAGGUUUACAUUAUGUCAGAGAGAGGUAGGGUAAUGUGUAAGGUUUACAUUAUGUCAGGAUAUGUCAGAGAGAGGUAGGGUAAUGUAUAAGGUUUACAUUAUGUCAGAGAGAGGUAGGGUAAUGUAUAAGGUUUACAUUAUGUCAGAGAGAGGUAGGGUAAUGUAUAAGGUUUACAUUGUCAGAGAGAGGUAGGGUAAUGUAUAAGGUUUACAUUAUGUCAGGAUAUGUCAGAGAGAGGGAGGGUAAUGUAUAAGGUUUACAUUAUGUCAGGAUAUGUCAGAGAGAGGUAGGGUAAUGUAUAAGGUUUACAUUAUGUCAGGAUAUGUCAGAGAGAGGUAGGGUAAUGUAUAAGGUUUACAUUAUGUCAGAGAGAGGUAGGGUAAUGUAUAAGAUUUACAUUAUGUCAGGAUAUGUCAGAGAGAGGUAGGGUAAUGUAUAAGGUUUACAUUAUGUCAGGAUAUGUCAGAGAGAGGUAGGGUAAUGUAUAAGGUUUACAUUAUGUCAGAGAGAGGUAGGGUAAUGUAUAACGUUUACAUUAUGUCAGAGAGACGUAGGGUAAUGUAUAAGGUUUACAUUAUGUCAGGAUAUGUCAGAGAGAGGUAGGGUAAUGUAUAAGGUUUACAUUAUGUCAGAGAGAGGGAGGGUAAUGUAUAAGGUUUACAUUAUGUCAGGAUAUGUGAGAGAGAGGGAGGGUAAUUGAUAAGGUUUACAUUAUGUCAGAGACGUAGGGUAAUGUAUAAGGUUUACAUUAUGUCAGAGGGAGGGUAAUGUAUAAGGUUUACAUUAUGUCAGAGAGACGUAGGGUAAUGUAUAAGGUUUACAUUAUGUCAGAGAGAGGUAGGGUAAUGUAUAAGGUUUACAUUAUGUCAGGAUAUGUUAUUGUUAGCCAUCAGGGAUCCUCUGGGAGGAGAAGAGACAGUCUGGUACCAGUCACCGUGAGUUGGGGAGGAGAAGAGACAGUCUGGUACCAGUCACCUUGACAGCCGUGAGUUGGGGAGGAGAAGAGACAGUCUGGUACCAGUCACCUUGACAGCCGUGAGUUGGGGAGGAGAAGAGACAGUCUGGUACCAGUCACCAUGACAGCCGUGAGUUGGGGAGGAGAAGAGACAGUCUGGUACCAGUCACCGUGACAGCCGUGAGUUGGGGAGGAGAAGAGACAGUCUGGUACCAGUCACCAUGACAGCCGUGAGUUGGGGAGGAGAAGAGACAGUCUGGUACCAGUCACCGUGAGUUGGGGAGGAGAAGAGACAGUCUGGUACCAGUCACCAUGACAGCCGUGAGUUGGGAAGGAGAAGAGACAGUCUGGUACCAGUCACCAUGACAGCCGUGAGUUGGGGAGGAGAAGAGACAGUCUGGUACCAGUCACCAUGACAGCCGUGAGUUGGGGAGGAGAAGAGACAGUCUGGUACCAGUCACCAUGACAGCCGUGAGUUGGGGAGGAGAAGAGACAGUCUGGUACCAGUCACCAUGACAGCCGUGAGUUGGGGAGGAGAAGAGACAGUCUGGUACCAGUCACCUUGACAGCCGUGAGUUGGGGAGGAGAAGAGACAGUCUGGUACCAGUCACCAUGACAGCCGUGAGUUGGGGAGGAGAAGAGACAGUCUGGUACCAGUCACCGUGACAGCUGUGAGUUGGGGAGGAGAAGAGACAGUCUGGUACCAGUCACCAUGACAGCCGUGAGUUGGGGAGGAGAAGAGACAGUCUGGUACCAGUCACCGUGAGUUGGGGAGGAGAAGAGACAGUCUGGUACCAGUCACCGUGAGUUGGGGAGGAGAAGAGACAGUCUGGUACCAGUCACCGUGAGUUGGGGAGGAGUGAGCCAUUUGGGGUUAGAGGUCAGAUGAAGUGAGGUAGAACAGAUAUCACCAAGGUUCUGCCUAGCAACAGAGAUGGAUUGGCUGUUCAGAUGCAUAGGAGGAAGGGUUAAAUGUCAGUGCUGUGUGAAUGAUUUUGUUGGUUCAGCUGUUCGAUCAUUUGGGAUGAAUAAACUUGGUUUAAGCUUUCA